GGGCGCAAGCCUGAUGCAGCCAUGCCGCGUGUGUGAAGAAGGCCUUCGGGUUGUAAAGCACUUUCAGUCGUGAGGAAGGUAGUGUAGUUAAUAGCUGCAUUAUUUGACGUUAGCGACAGAAGAAGCACCGGCUAACUCCGUGCCAGCAGCCGCGGUAAUACGGAGGGUGCGAGCGUUAAUCGGAAUUACUGGGCGUAAAGCGCAUGCAGGUGGUUUGUUAAGUCAGAUGUGAAAGCCCGGGGCUCAACCUCGGAAUAGCAUUUGAAACUGGCAGACUAGAGUACUGUAGAGGGGGGUAGAAUUUCAGGUGUAGCGGUGAAAUGCGUAGAGAUCUGAAGGAAUACCGGUGGCGAAGGCGGCCCCCUGGACAGAUACUGACACUCAGAUGCGAAAGCGUGGGGAGCAAACAGGAUUAGAUACCCUGGUAGUCCACGCCGUAAACGAUGUCUACUUGGAGGUUGUGGCCUUGAGCCGUGGCUUUCGGAGCUAACGCGUUAAGUAGACCGCCUGGGGAGYACG
rnacentral:rRNA from 1 species